UCCCACUCACAGAGAAGUUGGUGGUUGUCUCUUUUAACAGAGGUUUCCGUUGUCUGCACAUCAGCCCUGCCUGUCAGGCGUCACCAAAAAAAAGCCACUGCAGCUGAACGACCACGAAAAGGAGAUGCACCACAGCAAGAGUGAAUAGCAAGUGCAAGCCAGCACGAGAGUAAACUGACCUUUGGAGCCAACAGCAUCAUUAGGGGGCUGGACUUGGACUGGAUUAGCAUUCAGCAGCAAAAACAGAUGCUGAGCUUUCAAGAGGCCUCUAAUGAAGAGUAUGGAAAUUUAUUUUUAAGAAGUAAUUCGUUACCAUUAUUAUUACAAGGGGUGUGGCCACAUGAAUAAGAGGACCGGGCUCCUGGAUCUAUACUAUUCACCUAGCAGUGGGGUUUCAGCUUGUUAGCACACCCAACUGAUGUCCAAUUUCCCACCUUUUAAAUGUCCUCUCACUUUGGUAAUUAUCAUUCUUAAAGGGACUGUUUAGUUUUUCAAUAGUAAUUUAUAGUUACUUUUAGU
rnacentral:lncRNA from 1 species